rnacentral:rRNA from 1 species
GACGAACGCUGGCGGCGUGCUUAACACAUGCAAGUCGAGCGGUAAGGCCCUUUCGGGGGUACGACGAGCGGCGAACGGGUGAGUAACACGUGGGUGACCUGCCCUUAGCUCUGGGAUAAGCCUGGGAAACGUGGGUCUAAUACCGGAUAUGACUCCAUAACGCAUGUUGGUGGGGUGGAAAGCCUUGUGCGGCUAGGGAUGGGCCC